rnacentral:rRNA from 1 species
GACGAACGCUGGCGGCGUGCUUAACACAUGCAAGUCGAACGGAAAGGCCCUGCUUUUGUGGGGUGCUCGAGUGGCGAACGGGUGAGUAACACGUGAGUAACCUGCCCCUGACUUUGGGAUAACUUUACGAAACUGGGGCUCAAACCGGAUAUGAGCUCCUGCUCCAUGUUGUGGGAUGGAAAGAUUCGGCGGUUGGGGCUGGACUCGCGGCUUAUCAGCCUGUUGGGGGGGUAGUGGCUUACCAAGGCUUUGACGGGUAGCCGGCCUGGGAGGGUGAACGGCCACAUGGGGACUGAGAUACGGCCCAGACUCCUACGGGAGGCAGUGGUGGGGAAUAUUGCACAAUGGGCGGAAGCCUGAUGCAGCAACGCCGCGUGCGGGAUGAUCGCCUAUGGGUUGUGAACCGCUUUCGACUGUGAUGAAGCGUGAGUGACGGUAAUGGGUAAAGAAGCAACGGCUAACUACGUG